AACAGAGCGCAACUCCGUCUCAAAACAAACAAACAAAACAAAACAAAAAAAACUUAUAGACAAGUACAAAAUGAGAAGAAAAAGUCCCUUUCCCUUCAUGCCUCUACUUCCUGCUGUAUUCUCAAAGGUCUUGGAGGAAGGCAUCCUUCUAUUCUACUGAUCAGAAAGCUGGACAAAGUCCCACUGCCAGGCUACACAGUUGGUGCCAUUUGCGGAGGCCCACCCGCAGCGGUCACGUGAAGGACCGAGCGCCGCGCGCCCAGGCGGGGCCUCCGGCCUGCACGAGGAGGGCAGAGUCCGUUGCGGCUGCCGCCCCGACGCCCGCGCAUCCCCGCUCGCCGCGCCCGCCGCCGCGAUGUCCGGGGCCGGCCUAGCCGCGGUGGUGAGCUGCCUGCGCCCGCAGCCCGGCGAGGAGCCGCAGACCCAUGAGGACCUUCUCCUGGCAGCUGCCUAUGUUUUGGAUGCCCAGUACAACAGAAAUGUUCCAUUUGAAACUCACCUCAGGCCAUCAGACGUUACUAUUUUUAUAACCACUAGACAACGCAGGUUGCCGCAUACUUCUUUAUUUGUGUAGACCUCGCUCUUGCCCUGUUUGAAGAGCCUGAGUUGCUUCCCCUGCCUUUCUUGGCCACCUCAAUAGCAGAAGUACUCUGCCUGACUGCAUACUUUGGCAGACUGGUACAUUUUGCAAAAGUCACUCCUCAAAUGGUUUUCUGGAAGGAUACAAAAGACAUCUGCACCAUGGUAACCACAGUGGCGAGUGUUCAUUGUAGUACCUGUAAGAGUU
ensembl:lncRNA novel transcript